GGAAGUGCUAUAGCUCUGUGGUAAGAGUGUCUGCUUUGGAUGCAGAAGGCUCCAGGUUCAAUCCCUGGCAUCUCCA